rnacentral:rRNA from 1 species
CGCCACGCCGCUCAGAAACUUAAGGAAUGGACGGGACCCGCACAAGCGGUGGAUGAUGUGGAUUAAUUCGAUGCAACGCGAAAACCUUACCUACGCUUGACAUGUCAGGAACCUCGAAGAGAUUUGAGGGUGCCCGAAAGGGAACCUGAACACAGGUGCUGCAUGGCUGUCGUCAGCUCGUGUCGUGAGAUGUUGGGUUAAGUCCCACAACGAGCGCAACCCUUAUCAUUAGUUGCUACGCAAGGGCACUCUAAUGAGACUGCCGGUGACAAACCGGAGGAAGGUGGGGAUGACGUCAAGUCCUCAUGGCCCUUAUGCGUAGGGCUUCACACGUCAUACAAUGGUCGGUACAGAGGGUUGCCAACCCGCGAGGGGGAGCCAAUCCCACAAAGCCGAUCGUAGUCCGGAUUGCAGUCUGCAACUCGACUGCAUGAAGUCGGAAUCGCUAGUAAUCGCGGAUCAGCAUGUCGCGGUGAAUACGUUCCCGGGUCUU